GCGAACGGGUGAGUACAGUGAGUAACCUGCCCUGGACUCUGGAUAAGCGUUGGAAACGACGUCUAAUACCGGAUAGGACCUCGGAUCGCAUGAUCUGGGGUGGAAAGUUAUCGGUCUGGGAUGGACUCGCGGCCUAUCAGCUUGUUGGUGAGGUAAUGGCUCACAGGCGCUGGACGCGUUAGCACGGCGUAGAAGGGUGACGGCCACAACUUGGGACUGAGACUCGAGACCAGAUUCUUACGAGAGGCCAGCCAGGGGGGAAUUAUUGUCACCAUUGAGCGCCAAGCCUGAUGCAGGCAACGCCCGCGUGCGGGAUGACGCCUUUAGGUAUGUAAACGCCUUUUAGUAGGGAAGAAGGGGUUCGGCUGGACCGGUACCUGCAGAAAAAGGACCGGCUAAUUACGUGCCAGCAGCCGCCGGUAAUACGUAGGGUCCGAGCGUUGUCCGGGAAAUUAUUGGGCGUAAAGAGCUCGUAGGCGGUUUGUCCGCGUCCUGCUGUGAAAACUAGAGGCUCAACCUCUAGCUGCAGUGGGUACGGGCAGACUUGAGUGCGGUAGGGGAGAAUGGAAUUCCUGGUGUAGCGGUGGAAUGCGCAGAUAUCAGGAGGAACACCGAUGGCGAAGGCAGUUCUCUGGGCCGUAACUGACGCUGAGGAGCGAAAGCGUGGGGAGCGAACAGGAUUAGAUACCCUGGUAGUCCACGCCGUAAACGUUGGGCGCUAGAUGUGGGGACCUUUCCACGGUUUCCGUGUCGUAGCUAACGCAUUAAGCGCCCCGCCUGGGGAGUACGGCCGCAAGGCUAAAACUCAAAGGAAUUGACGGGGGCCCGCACAAGCGGCGGAGCAUGCGGAUUAAUUCGAUGCAACGCGAAGAACCUUACCAAGGCUUGACAUACACGAGAACGGGCCAGAAAUGGUCAACUCUUUGGACACUCGUGAACAGGUGGUGCAUGGUUGUCGUCAGCUCGUGUCGUGAGAUGUUGGGUUAAGUCCCGCAACGAGCGCAACCCUCGUCGCAUGUUGCCAGCACGUUAUGGUGGGAACUCAUGUGAGACUGCCGGGGUCAACUCGGAGGAAGGUGGGGAUGACGUCAAAUCAUCAUGCCCCUUAUGUCUUGGGCUUCACGCAUGCUACAAUGGCCGGUACAAAGGGCUGCGAUGUCGUAAGGCGGAGCGAAUCCCAAAAAGCCGGUCUCAGUUCGGAUUGAGGUCUGCAACUCGACCUCAUGAAGUCGGAGUCGCUAGUAAUCGCAGAUCAGCAACGUUUUCGGUU
rnacentral:rRNA from 1 species